UGGGGAAUAUUGCACAAUGGGCGAAAGCCUGAUGCAGCAACGCCGCGUGGAGUGAUGAAGGCCUUCGGGUUGUAAAGCUCUGUCUUUUGGGACGAUAAUGACGGUACCAAAGGAGGAAGCCACGGCUAACUACGUGCCAGCAGCCGCGGUAAUACGUAGGUGGCAAGCGUUGUCCGGAUUUACUGGGCGUAAAGGAUGCGUAGGCGGAUUUUUAAGUGAGAUGUGAAAUACCCGGGCUUAACUUGGGUGCUGCAUUUCAAACUGGAAUCUAGAGUGCGGGAGAGGAGAAUGGAAUUCCUAGUGUAGCGGUGAAAGUGCGUAGAGAUUAGGAAGAACACCAGUGGCGAAGGCGAUUCUCUGGACCGUAACUGACGCUGAGGCAUGAAAGCGUGGGUAGCAAACAGGAUUAGAUACCCUGGUAGUCCACGCCGUAAACGAUGAGUACUAGGUGUAGGAGGUAUCGACCCCUUCUGUGCCGCAGUUAACACAAUAAGUACUCCGCCUGGGAAGUACGAUCGCAAGAUUAAAA
rnacentral:rRNA from 1 species